GUGGCUGUCUGCCUGUCUGUAUGUGUGGAUGUUUGCCUCGGUGUCAGUGACUGUCUGCCUCUGUGUGUGUGUGCGCACCUGCUAGUGAGGGAGCCUGUGUGUGUGUGUGUCAGUGAGCUUGUCUGUAGGGAUCAUAUGUGUGUGUGUUAGUGAGCUCUUGUCUGUAAGGAGCAUGGGUGUGAUCGUGGGCUUGUCUGUAGUGAGCGUGUGUGUCAGUGAGUUUGUCUGUAGUGAGCGUGUGUGUCAGUGAACGUGUGUGUCAGUGAGCUUGUCUGUAGUGACCAUAUGUGUCAGUGAGCUUGUCUGUAGUGAGUGUGUGUGUCAGUGAGCUUGUCUGUAGUGACCAUAUGUGUCAGUGAGCUUGUCUGUAGUGAGCGUGUGUGUCAGUGAGCUUGUUUGUAGUGAGCAUAUGUGUGUCAGUGAGCUUGUCUGUAGUGAAUCUGUGUUAGUGAGCUCUUCUGUAGGGAGCAUGUGUGUGUCAAUGGGCGUGUCUGUAGGGAGAGUGUGUGCGCAUCAGCGAGCUUGUCUGUAGUGAGCGUGUGUGUGUGACAGUGAGCUUGUCUGUAGUAAGCUUGUGUGUGUAUCAGAGUUUGUCUGUACUAAAUUUGUGUGUCUGCCAGUAACCUUAUCUGUGUGUGUCAUUGAGAUUGUCUGUCAAUGAGCCUAUUUGUGUGCAUCAGUAAGAUUGUCUGUGUCUGUGUGUGAGUAUGCUUUACUGUAUAAUUUAAUUACCCUGAAAGGACUAAUAUUUUGAAUUAGAAGAAG